UAGCGUAUUCGUUUGACGUUAGCGACAGAAGAAAGCACCGGCUAACUCCGUGCCAGCAGCCGCGGUAAUACGGAGGUGCGAGCGUUAAUCGGAAUUACUGGGCGUAAAGCGCAUGCAGGUGGUUUGUUAAGUCAGAUGUGAAAGACCCGGGCGUCAACCUCGGAAUAGCAUUUGAAACUAGGCAGACUAGAGUACUGUAGAGGGGGGUAGGAAUUUCAGGUGUAGCGGUGAAAUGCGUAGAGAUCUGAAGGAAUACCGGUGGCGAAGGCGGCCCCCUCGGACAGAUACUGACACUCAGAUGCGAAAGCGUGGGGAGCAAACAGGAUUAGAUACCCUGGUAG
rnacentral:rRNA from 1 species